rnacentral:rRNA from 1 species
UACAGGGGGGGGCAAGCGUUUGUUCGGAAUUACUGGGCGUAAAGGGCGCGUAGGCGGCCAACUAAGUCACACGUGAAAUCCCCAGGCUUAACCUGGGAACUGCGUGUGAUACUGGAUGGCUUGAAUUCGGGAGAGGGAUGCGGAAUUCCAGGUGUAGCGGUGAAAUGCGUAGAUAUCAGGAGGAACACCGGCGGUGUAGACGGCUUACUGGACCAUGACUGACGCUGAGGCACGAAAGCGUGGGGAGCAAACAGG